CACACACACACACACACACACACACACACACACACACACACACACACACAAAAAAAAAACAAUAUACAGCAAUAGAGGCUAUGAAAAAACCUUAAUGUGGUGAGUAAACUUGCAGUGGGUCCAGUAAUAUUUAAAUAUCAGCAGUAGAUAUAUGUUCAUAAAAGCUGCGCUAAUCUGAAAAUUUAAAAAAAAAAAAAAAAAAAAAAAAAGAACUUAUAGAGGUGUUUGUUUGGCGUUUACUAUACAAGCUCACCUGUUUUUAAUCCUCUUUUGCCGAUUCUGGACAAUUUUAAGGAGGAAAUAACCUUCGUCCGUCUUCCUGGUAGCUCUUCUUCGCGGCUUCCGGGAUUUAGCGACUCCUCCUGGCAGCCGUUAGCCGUUAGCUUCGAACCGCGCAGCUGGGGCUAAAAGAGGGACGUUUUCCUCGCCGGUGGAGUGAGGUGGAGACCGGACUAACGCCUUACUACCAUCCGAGACACAUUCCAGAUUACCACAGCUUCACCCCACACCGGAUAACCUGAGGUAUUUGGAGACUAGUCAUCACUGUCGAGCUAUAAGGAAUUCAGAUUCUGAAGGACGCCGUUGAGAGCUGCUGGGGCAUUGCCGAAAUCUAUUCCCCUCCCGCUAAGGCAGCUGUUUAGAGGCUCUCAUUAAGCAGAGAGGACUGUAAGAAAAUCAGCAUGAAGAGGAGGGCGACCACAUCCCCCAGCAACACCCUGCACCCGAUCUGAGAUGCGGCAAGUAGUGACACCCAACUCUGGUCCCACCCAGUAACUGUCUCUUUGUUGAGGAUGGCGCAGACUGGAUUCAGGUGCUGAGAAGAGGUGAAUGAAAUCUGGAAAAUGAGAGACUACGUAGAUGGUGGAAGCAGAGGAGAAAGCUGCAGAGAAAGCACUGUUAAAGGCAGGCUUAUGUCUGUGGUCCACAUCCGGUUGGCUCCCUCUGCUGGGGAUGACCUCAACCUGCUGCCACAGAAGAAAAGUGGAAAGAUGAGACGUUCUCUGUGUAAUGGCCAUGCCGGGAAAAGCACUGACAUGCAGCAACAUCAAAAUGUUGGUGAGUAAACAAAUAUUCUCCAAAUAUUUCUGUGUUCUGGGGUUUAUCUGCUGCAGCUUCAGAUGCCAAAAGUCGAUCCAAAUCUUAACUCAACUAUUUCAAUGCUGCUAAAGCAUGAAAAAAAAAAAAACUCAGUAAGUCUCUAAGCCACCACCCCUCCCUGCUGCCUGUCGCUGGCUAUUUCUGUGACUCUUGUAUGAAACGCUUCUGACGUUAAACACCUGUUAACUUUUAUGUCUUGUGAGAGGAGUGGCUGAAUGGGAGCGCAUUAUGUUCAGUGCCAGUCGGCCUGGCCAAAUCCCCAGUAGAGGAAAGACCACUCCCAGUGCAGAGAGGCAGCAGCAGGGUGAGUGAGCCCCCUCAC